CUUCAGAGAAUGAUCUCCUCUGAGCCCGCCGGCGUCAUAAACCUGAGUUCUCCAACUCUCCAAGUGCUCGCUUGGUUUCUCGCCGGGUCAAAGAGCUGAUCCACUGCAGCCACAGAGCUGCUGGAGCUGGGACACGACAGCCACAGGGCUGUCGCCAGAACUGAUACGCUGCGGCCCAGGGCUUCUGGGCAGCUGCCAUAACACUGCCACGAGCAGAGGAAAGAGAAGUUGGGCCACGAGCAGGAAAAAGUGCAACUACAGACGGCGGAGACGGUAGCGUUGCACUCGACGGAAUCGCAACCGUGAUAGGAACCUACCAUGUCCAGUCCAGCCCCCCCAGCACUCGUCGCCCCUAGCCAGCAGGAAGUAGCUACGGAAGAGAGGACCGUCGCCCCAUCCCAUUUAAAAAAGGCUGGAAUGAUAGGUUCCCAGGAAGAUGGAGACAGGACUCUCCCCUCCGCCCCAAUGUGACUGUUCACCUUGGAGACCUGUGGACGGCGGUACCGCCCAGCACAAGGUCGACACCCUUUCCCGGACUAUGGAGCCUAGAUUAACCACCUACAAGGAUAACUGCCCUCCGUCUCAGCCCUCUCGGGACUCCAUCGUUGUUUGAGAAUCCAAAUUAUUUCUUUUAUUUGUCCCUGUAUUUGUGAUUUCUCUUUUUUUGUGCAGCCUACAGAAUUGGCUUGAUCCAUAGAAACCAAAUGAACGCCCUGCAAUCAAAAUUUACUAUGGCUGUUCUUAUACAACAAAUAAGUGAAAAUGGGAGGAGAUGUUGGAAACCACUGAACUGCUGAAUUCUGCUGAUGCAGAGUUCUGAAAGGUCGCCUUUACAGACAAGAUAAGGGCGUUUUUCCUAAACCAUGCUCUUCACUAAGCAGCCACUAUGCCCUAGAGGCAGGCACCAGUGUUAAUAGUUUCCUUUGUUAUUCACUAAGAGGUAGCUUUGUCAUUGCCUGUGCUUGAUUUUGUUAAUUCACCUACAUACUUUCCUUAAUAAAAGGCGUGUAGGCUAAA